CUUGACAAUUUUGACCUCAAAUCAGGUAAGACUACCCGCUGAACUUAAGCAUACAAUAAGCGGAGGA
rnacentral:rRNA from 1 species